AUCUUUGCGCUUGGGGCAAUGACGCAGCUAAUGAGGUACUAACCGAGGCGCGUCUAUUGCUGGUUGAAAACUAUUUCCAAACCCCCUCCUGGGCCUAAAGCUUGUCUUGGGCCUUCGAGAAUUUCUGGAAGGGCUCCCUUCGGGGUAAAGCC
rnacentral:snRNA from 2 species